GACAUAGGUGGCCAACGUUAUCCGGAAUUAUUGGGCGUAAAGGAUGCGUAUAUGGUAGAAUAAGUUACUGUUCGAUGCCAAACUCAAUUUGGCGGAAGCCGAUAAUACUGUUCUACUCGAGGGCAGGAGAGGUUGUUGGAAUUCUGUGUGGAGCGGUGAAAUGCGUUGAUCUACAGAGGAACACCAAAAAAGGCGAAGGCAAUCAACUAUUCUGUUCCUGACAUUGAGGCAUGAAAGCGUGGGGAGCAAACCGG
rnacentral:rRNA from 1 species